GCCUGGUGAUCUGGUGAGCAGGUGCUGCUGUUUGUGGGAGGAAGGGGCCAGCUGCCCAUGGGAUAGCAGCAACUGUGUGGCCUCCCCAGGCUGGUGGCCAGGGGGCUGCCUUCCCCAUCAGGGGUGGGACCCACUCAGAGUACUUUUGCUUUUGGAACUCAGCCAGACAUCUGUUUUGGGUGAGAGGAUGCAUGCUCUUCCUUCCCUCCCAGGAUCCCCCUGUUUCAGGCUCUCUGCAGCAGCCCUGACUUGAAUUGGCUGUGUGAUCUGAGGCUGUUCACUUAACCUCUCUGGUUAUCCAUAUCCUCAUCCAUAGAAUGGAGAUAAUCAUUCUCACCACCGAGGGGUGCUGUGAGGAUCGGGCAAGGCCACAAGUUGGAAGGCGAUAUUCCUGCAGAAGAAAAGUUAAAAAGAUGCAACUUUGCUGGCUUUGAAAAUGGAGAAUAGGCCAUAAACAAAGGAAUGGAGCAGCUGCAAGGAGCUAAAAGACAAAGAAAUAGAUUUCCCCCUAGAACCUCCAGAAAGGAAUGCAGCCCAGCUGAUGCCCUGAUUUUAGUCCAGUGCAACCUGUGUUGGACUUCUAACUUCAAGAACUGUAAGGAUGGUAGGACCUACAGAUUCUUGAUUAGAUUAUAGAUGCAAAAAAAGAACCUGGAAUUAUUCCCCAAGAAGCUCCUUCUUCUGAAACCAAGAGGGGACUACAUGAUUCUAUCUGAUGACAACCAGUCAGUGAUCUCAGGUAUAAAAUGCAAUGUCCUAUUGUAACAAUGGCUGGCAUUACACCCAACAUCUAGAAGAAAAAAAACAAUGAUGUCAGAAGGCAGUCAUCUGGAGUGAAUAAAAGGCAAGAGGCUUAUUGCAAAUUCUAAUGCACUUCAUCAUAGAAUUUUAAUUAACUAUUCCAUUCACACCAAUUGGGGACUAUUAAAGCAGUCGUUUCUGAGAAGCAAUCUUUGGGAAAUUCAGGUAAAAAAAGACAACUUCUGUCUUCUGGAACAAUAAGGUUAUGACUUCCUACACCUAAUAAAAGGUGACUAUAUAGCCAGGCGUGGUGGCACGCGCCUGUAAUUCCAGCUACUCAGAAGGCUGAGGAAUGAGAAUCGCUUGAACCCGGGAGGUGGAGGUUGCAGUGAGUAGAGAUCGCACCACUGCACUCAAGCCUAGAUGACAGUGAGACUCUGUCCCCCACUCCCCCCACAAAAGUUAUCAUGCAGGAUCUGCCCUGGGAUAUAGUUUAAUUAUGUAACAUAGUCUGAAAAUAAGCAAAUUACUUAUAUACAUGCUUUGAUCUUUCUCUAUCUGAGGAAUGGGAAGAACAUAGUUUACCUCUCUAGAAGUCGCUUCUGAGAAUUGUGGUCCAUGCUCCAUUCUGAAUCCACAAGGAAAGGCCUUCACACUAUACAUGGCAAUUGCCAUUAGAUAUUGUCUUCUGGUUAUGGCGCAAUGGGCUGAUUGCCUUAGUUAUGUCAGAAAGGUGUUUGAAGAGCCUAUUGUGACUUGCCUGGUUUUAAAGGCUUGAGUUAUAACUGGCUAAUAAUACACAUUGAUACUGUCUGCAGCUUUUAACAAGUGUUUUUUGUUUGUGCUUAAUACUUAUCAGAUGACUAGGUAAUUUUUGAGGUUGACUCACCAGGGCAUUUGGUUUCAUGGGUCAUUAGGGACCUGAAUUACAGGCCCUUCACAACACUUAGCAAGUGAAUCAUACUGAACAAUAGAAUCUCUUUUAACCUUUGUCUUUUUAAAAAUUAAAUGAUAAUAAAUCAUUCGACCCUACAUUAAAUCUUCUCCUCUCC
rnacentral:lncRNA from 1 species